rnacentral:rRNA from 1 species
AGUGAACGCUGGCGGUAGGCCUAACACAUGCAAGUCGAACGGCAGCACAGUAAGAGCUUGCUCUUACGGGUGGCGAGUGGCGGACGGGUGAGGAAUACAUCGGAAUCUACUUUUUCGUGGGGGAUAACGUAGGGAAACUUACGCUAAUACCGCAUACGACCUACGGGUGAAAGCAGGGGAUCUUCGGACCUUGCGCGAUUGAAUGAGCCGAUGUCGGAUUAGCUAGUUGGCGGGGUAAAGGCCCACCAAGGCGACGAUCCGUAGCUGGUCUGAGAGGAUGAUCAGCCACACUGGAAGUGCGACACGGUCCAGACUCCUACGGGAGGCAGCAGUGGGGAAUAUUGGACAAUGGGCGCAAGCCUGAUCCAGCCAUACCGCGUGGGUGAAGAAGGCCUUCGGGUUGUAAAGCCCUUUUGUUGGGAAAGAAAAGCAGAAGGUUAAUACCCCGCUGUUCUGACGGUACCCAAAGAAUAAGCACCGGCUAACUUCGUG